CUACGGGCGGCAGCAGUGAGGAAUAUUGCACAACGGGGGGAACCCUGAUGCAGCAACGCCGCGUGGAGGAUGACGCAUUUCGGUGUGUAAACUCCUUUUAUAUGUCAAGAAAAUGACGGUAGCAUAUGAAUAAGCACCGGCUAACUCCGUGCCAGCAGCCGCGGUAAUACGGAGGGUGCAAGCGUUACUCGGAAUCACUGGGCGUAAAGGACGCGUAGGCGGGUUGGAAAGUCAGGUGUGAAAUCCUACAGCUUAACUGUAGAACUGCACUUGAAACUUCUAAUCUAGAGUAUGGGAGGGGGAGAUGGAAUUAGUGGUGUAGGGGUAAAAUCCGUAGAUAUCACUAGGAAUACCUAAAGCGAAGGCGUUCUCCUGGAACAUUACUGACGCUAAGGCGUGAAAGCGUGGGGAGCAAACAGGAUUAGAUACCCGUGUAGUC
rnacentral:rRNA from 1 species